rnacentral:rRNA from 1 species
UACGAAGGGGGCUAGCGUUGCUCGGAAUUACUGGGCGUAAAGCGCACGUAGGCGGCUCUUUAAGUCAGGGGUGAAAUCCUGGAGCUCAACUCCAGAACUGCCUUUGAUACUGAAGAUCUUGAGUUCGGGAGAGGUGAGUGGAACUGCUAGUGUAGAGGUGAAAUUCGUAGAUAUUCGCAAGAACACCAGUGGCGAAGGCGGCUCACUGGCCCGAUACUGACGCUGAGGCACGAAAGCGUGGGGAGCAAACAGG